rnacentral:rRNA from 1 species
UACAUAGGGUGCGAGCGUUUGUCCGGAAUUACUGGGCGUAAAGAGCUCGUAGGUGGUUUGUCGCGUUGUUCGUGAAAACUCACAGCUUAACUGUGGGCGUGCGGGCGGAUACGGGCAGACUGGAGUACUGCAGGGGAGACUGGAAUUCCUGGUGUAGCGGUGGAAUGCGCAGAGUAUCAGGAGGAACACCGGUGGCGAAGGCGGGUCUCUGGGCAGUAACUGACGCUGGAGGAGCGAAAGCCGUGGGGAGCGAACAGG